rnacentral:lncRNA from 1 species
ACAACGACAAAAGUCAACAAUAUUUACAAACAGCGGAAAUAGUUUUUGAAACAGAAUCCAAAGUAUUUAAAUAGAAAAAUACAACGGGGCUAUGAGACCCAUCAGACAUAGCUCAUACCCUUGGAGUAUUCUCGGCAGACACCUGCAUAAAAGCACUGCCCCAAGAAUCUCUACUUUCCCCACAUCACAUCAAAAUGUGGAACAUGGACCCAUUAAAAGAAAAAGUCAUCAGACAGUUUAAGCUUAGAUACAAUCUUCCAAAAUGAAAUAAAUACAAUCCCAAGAGAAAGACAUCUAGUCCUUAUACAACCACCUAANNNN